rnacentral:tRNA from 38 species
AGGCACGUAGCUCAGUUGGUUAGAGCACCACCUUGACAUGGUGGGGGUCGUUGGUUCGAGUCCAAUCGUGCCUACCA